UACGUAGGGGGCAAGCGUUGUCCGGAAUUAUUGGGCGUAAAGCGCGCGCAGGCGGUUCCUUAAGUCUGAUGUGAAAGCCCACGGCUCAACCGGGGAGGGUCAUUGGAAACUGGCGGACUUGAGUGCAGAAGAGGAGAGUGGAAUUCCAUGUGUAGCGGUGAAAUGCGCAGAGAUAUGGAGGAACACCAGUGGCGAAGACGGCUCUCUGGUCUGCAACUGACGCUGAGGAGCGAAAGCGUGGGGAGCGAACAGG
rnacentral:misc_RNA from 1 species